GCUCGAAUAGUGUAGUGGUUAUCACACCAGUCUCACACACUGGAUGUCCCAGGCUCGAAACCUGGUUCGAGCA